rnacentral:pre_miRNA from 1 species
UGGACAAAUUCUUGUAUUCGACCGUAUUCGACUGUAUUCACGGCGUGAAACAUGGGAUUACACUGUUUUUAAAUGAAAAGUGAAUCAAUUAACAUAAUAGAAUCCU